GCGAGGGGGCGGGCCCGGGCGGAGUGCCGGGGACCCCGAGCUCGUGGGGCACGAGGGAGCCAAUCAAUUCCCCCAGCAGCUCCAGGGCUAGAAAGCUAGUGUAAACACUUAGAUUCACUCCGCGUCAGCGGUCCCUAGUUUGUAGUAGAAAAGAUGAUUUCCUUUCCUUAGGAAAGCGCACUGCUAGCGUAGAUUGGGAAGAUGACGGUUGCCAGUAACUAGCAGGGGAAGGCAGUUUGCGGGGAGCUGCUAGGGGACGCUGAGCUCUGGGCCAAACUCCCCCCAACCUCUCCCCGCGUAGGACCUGCCCAGGGAAAGCCAGGAGUUGGGGGUCGUGGGGCCGAAGGAGGAGGAGCGGCGAGGAAGGAAGGGCUGGGAAUUGAGAAGAGGUUAUUCUGCCUCGGGAACUACAGCAAGGCAGGGAAGGACCGCCAGCAAGACUGGAGCCAAUAGUAAGCUGUACAGUCAGGUUGUGACACAUCUUUCUGAACUUUUUUUCUACUCAUUUUCAUCCUCACACACAGUCUGAGGGAACCCAACCACCAUGUUUGAAGGCACUCAAGCAUCCAUGGAGAGGCCCAUGGGGAGAGUAAUUGUGACCUCUCACCAGCAGCCAGCGUCAACUUGCCAGCCAUGUUUGAUUUGAAGAUUCAUAAGGCUGACACUGAAAGAACAGUAUGAGUGGAGUGAGAGGCUGUGCGGAAGAACGGCAAGGAGAAAAGGAUGCAGCGGAAGAAAAGGAGGACAAGUUCUCUGGAGGAGACGUGCGUGACUGCAGAAGAAUCACCCUACCGUCCAGUGCCCUCCAGACAAGUUCAAAGACAGGAAGACUAGUAUUGUGUAGGUCAAAAGUACCUGUAUGAAUGUGAUUCUCUUGUAUGAAAUUAGAUCACUUUUAGCACAA